rfam:Cajanus cajan CcLG04_425, whole genome shotgun sequence.
AGGUGCGAUCAUACCAGAACUAAUGUACCGGAUCCCAUCAGAACUCCGCAGUUAAGUAUGUUUGGGCGAGAGUAGUACUAGAAUGGGUGACCUCCUGGGAAGUCCUCACCUAUUUA